rnacentral:rRNA from 1 species
CAAAAACAUCGCCUCCCGCAAAACAUUAUGGGAGGUCUUACCUGCCCAGUGACUACAAGUUAAACGGCCGCGGUAUUUUGACCGUGCAAAGGUAGCGCAAUCACUUGUCUUUUAAAUGAAGACCCGUAUGAAUGGUGAAACGAGGGCUUGACUGUCUCCCUUUUCUAGUCAAUGAAAUUGAUCCGCCCGUGCAGAAGCGGGCAUAAUAUUACAAGACGAGAAGACCCUUUGGAGCUUAAGAUAAAAACCAACUAUGUUAAUAUAGGGAAAAAAUAAACUAAAUAACACUGGUCCAUAUCUUCGGUUGGGGCGACCACGGGAGAAAAUAAAGCUCCCAUGCGGAUGGGGUUUAACCUAAAGCCAAGAAAGACACUUCCAAGACACAGAACAUUUGACCAAAUUGAUCCGGCUAACUAGCCGACCAACGAACCAAGUUACCCUAGGGAUAACAGCGCAAUCCCCUUUCAGAGUCCAUAUCGACAAGGGGGUUUACGACCUCGAUGUUGGAUCAGGACAUCCUAAUGGUGCAGCCGCUAUUAAGGGUUC